UACAGAGGUCUCAAGCGUUGUUCGGAUUCAUUGGGCGUAAAGGGUGCGUAGGUGGUGAUGCAAGUCUGGUGUGAAAUCUCGGAGCUCAACUCCGAAAUUGCACCGGAUACUGCGUGACUCGAGGACUGUAGAGGAGAUCGGAAUUCACGGUGUAGCAGUGAAAUGCGUAGAUAUCGUGAGGAAGACCAGUUGCGGAGGCGGAUCUCUGGGCAGUUCCUGACACUGAGGCACGAAG
rnacentral:rRNA from 1 species